rnacentral:lncRNA from 1 species
ACUGCUAUCUUCACAGGGGGGAGAUAAAUCACAACAUAGACCAUUUUUCUCCAUUAAGUAGGAAGGAGCCUUCUGCGCUGCUGGUACAUGAACUGAGGUACUUCUCACCUCCUUACAGAAAAGGCAGAUGAUGCUGGAGUGAGAGUUUUGCUGGCUGUGGGCAGAUUGCGAAUCCUGACUUCUGAGAAAGGAUGUCAUGGAAUACAGCUCAUGAACAAGAGCAAGGCAUAUACAUUGGAAAACCACAGAAACCUG